rnacentral:rRNA from 1 species
GAUCCUGGCUCAGGAUGAACGCUAGCGGCAGGCUUAAUACAUGCAAGUCGAGGGGGCAGCAAUGUCACCGGCGAACGGGUGCGUAACGCGUAUGCAACCUACCUACAUCAGGGGGAUAGCCCUAGGAAACUGGGAUUAACACCGCAUAAUACUAGACAUGGCAUCAUGAUUAGUUGAAAUAUUUAUAGGAUGUAGAUGGGCAUGCGUAGGAUUAGCUAGUUGGUAAGGUAACGGCUUACCAAGGCUACGAUCCUUAGGGGCUCUGAGAGGAGUAUCCCCCACACUGGCACUGAGAUACGGGCCAGACUCCUACGGGAGGCAGCAGUAGGGAAUAUUGGGCAAUGGAGGCAACUCUGACCCAGCCAUGCCGCGUGCAGGAAGACGGUCCUCUGGAUUGUAAACUGCUUUUGAAUGGGAAGAAUGUGCUCCUUGCGAGGGGUAAUGACGGUACCAUUAGAAUAAGCCACGGCUAACUACGCGCCAGCAGCCGCGGUAAUACGUAGGUGGCGAGCGUUAUCCGGAUUUAUUGGGUUUAAAGGGUGCGUAGGCGGCUUAAUAAGUCGGUGGUUAAAAGUAGCAGCUUAACUGUUUUACAUGCCAUCGAUACUGUUGAGCUUGAGAUAUUUGGAGGCAGCUAGAAUUUCCGGUGUAGCGGUGAAAUGCAUAGAUACCGGAAGGAAUACCAAUUGCGAAGGCAGGUUGCUACGAAUAAACUGACGCUGAUGCACGAAAGCGUGGGGAUCAAACAGGAUUAGAUACCCUGGUAGUCCACGCCGUAAACGAUGAUUACUAGUUGUUGGGGUUUAAGCCUCAGUGACCAAGGGAAACCGAUAAGUAAUCCACCUGGGGAGUACGCCGGCAACGGUGAAACUCAAAGGAAUGACGAA